AGUUAGUCUAACACCAAGACA
rnacentral:tRNA from 2 species